GGAUGUUACAGUGAUCUGACUGGGACAUCUGUCACCCCCAGAUCACCAGUUGACUUGGCUAAUAGGCUGGAUAGCCAGGUGUCCCCUUCCUCUCAGCUCUGUAUGUGUCCCUCUGGAAGCGGUGCACUUGGCAGAAGAGGAUAACCACCACCAUCGGGAGAAGCACUGCCUUGGUCGAGGAAAACAAGUAGCGGCACUGUCCUGCCAGAACCUGCAGUCAGGCUCUUUUGCUUUUUUAUUUAGAGAUAAGGUCUCACCAAGUCACUAAAUUGCCUGGGCUAGCUUU
rnacentral:snRNA from 1 species